rnacentral:rRNA from 1 species
AUUGAACGCUGGCGGCAGGCCUAACACAUGCAAGUCGAACGAGUGGCGGACGGGUGAGUAAUGUCUGGGAAACUGCCUGAUGGAGGGGGAUAACUACUGGAAACGGUAGCUAAUACCGCAUACCAUCAGAUGUGCCCAGAGGGGAUUAGCUUGUUGGUGGGGUAACGGCUCACCAAGGCGACGAUCCCUAGCUGGUCUGAGAGGAGGACCAUGAAAACUGGAACUGAGACACGGUCCAGAGUCCUACGGAAGGCAGCAGUGGGGAAUAUUGUAAAAGGGUCGGAAGCCUGAUGCAGCCAUGACGCGUGUAUGAAGAAGGCCUUCGGGUUGGAAAGGACUGUGAGCGGGGAGGCGUUACCCGCAGAAGAAGCAGCAGCGAACUCCGUGCCAGCAGCCGCGGUAAUAC